AACGAACGCUGGCGGCAUGCCUAACACAUGCAAGUCGAACGAGACCUUCGGGUCUAGUGGCGCCCGGGUGCGUAACGCGUGGGAACCUGCCCUUAGGUUCGGAAUAACUCCCCGAAAGGGGUGCUAAUACCGGAUAAUGUCUUCGGACCAAAGAUUUAUCGCCGUUGGGUGGGCGCGCGUUGGUUUAGCUUGUUGGUAGGGUAAAAGCCUACCAAGGCGACGAUCCAUAGCUGGGUUGAGAGGAUGAGCAGCCACACUGGGAAUGAGACACGGCCCGGACUCCUACGGGAGGCAGCAGAGGGGAAUAUUGGACAGUGGGCGAAAGCAAGAUCCAGCAAUGCCGCGUAAGUGAUGAAGGCCUGAGGGUUGUAAAGCUCGUUUACCCGGGAUGAUAAUGACAGUACCGGGAGAAUAAGCUCCGGCUAACUCCGUG
rnacentral:rRNA from 1 species